rnacentral:rRNA from 1 species
AAAAACAUCGCCUCUUGUAAAAUCAACAAAUAAGAGGUCCCGCCUGCCCCGUGACCACGUGUUUAACGGCCGCGGUAUUUUGACCGUGCAAAGGUAGCGCAAUCAUUUGUCUUUUAAAUAAAGACCCGUAUGAAUGGCAAGACGAGGGCUUAACUGUCUCCUUUUUCAAGUCAAUGAAAUUGAUCUUCCCGUGCAGAAGCGGGAAUUUCUCCAUAAGACGAGAAGACCCUGUGGAGCUUUAGACACCAAAACAGAUCACGUUAAGACCCCCUUAUAAAGGGCCAAACAGCCGAACCCUGUUUUAAUGUCUUCGGUUGGGGCGACCACGGUGGAACCACAAAACCCCCGCGUGGAAUAAGAGCACCCUCUGCUCUUACACUCAAGAGCCUCCGCUCUAAUAUACAGAACUUCUGACCAAUUAGAUCCGGCAACGCCGAUCAACGGACCAAGUUACCCCAGGGAUAACAGCGCAAUCCUCUUUCAGAGCCCAUAUCGACAAGAGGGUUUACGACCUCGAUGUUGGAUCAGGACAUCCUAAUGGUGCAGCCGCUAUUAAGGGUUCGUUUGUUCAACGAUUAAAGUCCUACGUGAUCUGA